rnacentral:rRNA from 1 species
UACGAAGGGGGGCUAGCGUUGCUCGGAAUUACUGGGCGUAAAGGGCGCGUAGGCGGCACUGUUAGUCAGGCGUGAAAGUCCUGGGCUCAACCUGGGAACUGCGCUUGAUACGGCAGAGCUAGAGGAUGGAAGAGGCUCGCGGAAUUCCCAGUGUAGAGGUGAAAUUCGUAGAUAUUGGGAAGAACACCGGUGGCGAAGGCAGCCAUCUGGACCGACACUGACGCUGAGGCGCGAAAGCGUGGGGAGCAAACAGG